GUCUACGGCUAUACCACCAUGAACAAGCCCAAUGUCUGAUCUCAGAACCUAAGCAAGGUUGGGCCCGGUUAGUACUUAGAUGGGAGACCACCUAGGAAGACCAGGUGCUGUUGGCA
rnacentral:rRNA from 1 species